GGGAGGCUGCAGCCCCGGCCCGCAGCAGGCACCGUCGGGCGGCCAGUCUCCGGGGGAAGACAGUUGGGUUCCAUUUUGCCUUCCGAGAACCUGCUGGCAGGCACUAUAGAAUACAUGCUGGUCAAACGGAGCCCAGGCCACCAGCCUAGAUGGUGAGAAGUCUCCUAAUCUGGUGAGAAAAAUCGUAUUCACCAACAGCAAUAAAUAAGAG
rnacentral:lncRNA from 1 species